rnacentral:sRNA from 1 species
AGCUGUUGCAGAUGCUUUUGGUGUCGGGCAGCUGUUCCCCUCUGGAGGUUUUAACCUUCAAACUGUCAGGCCGCGGAGAAAUCCAGCGGCCUUUUUU